GGCAAACAGCACCAUGUCCAGAUUACUCCUGCAGUAAGAGGAUGAUAAAGCUGGACUGGUUGGAGGAAGAUAAUUUAUUUCGAAACAAGGUCUCCGUUUUCUAAGAAGAAGAGGACCAUGUCAAACUCAUCACUUUUCACACUGGCUGCAUACGAAGGCAUAGAAGACCAGAAAUACAUAUUUGCAGCUGUACUAAUUUUACUGUAUCCGGUUACACUUUCUGCAAACGUGCUGCUCAUUUAUGUUAUAUGUGUAGAAAAAAGCCUGCAUAAGCCCAUGUACAUUUUCAUUUGUAAUUUAGCUUGCAUUGGAUUGUAUGGUGCCUCCGGGUUAGCCCCCUUCCUCUUAAACAGGCUUCUGAAUGGUGACACUCACAUUUCAAGAGUUUCUUGUCUGCUUCAAAUCUUCAACAUAAACACGUAUGGGGGAUGCGAGAUUGCGAACCUUAUGGUCAUGGCUUACGACCGGUACGUCUCAGUUUGCUUCCCUCUCUCAUACGAGAGGAUGAUGAGCUUCUCUAAGGUUGUGGCUUCCGUCGCCUUCGUCUGGCUGUUUCCAUUCUGCAGAUGCACAGUUACCCUGUCGAUAACUGCGCAACUUGAACUGUGUGGAAGUAUUAUCGAAAAAGUUUACUGCGACAACUUUUCGGUGGUUAAACUGUCAUGCUCGGGCAUCUCUCAAAUCAACAUAUACAGUUCAACGGUCACAUUCUUUUCUGUCGUGCUGCCAUUUUUUGUUAUUUUAUAUUCUUAUUCCAGAAUCAUUUUUAUAAGUCUUAAUUUGACUAAAGGUAAGCAGAAAAAAGUCUUGAGUACUUGCAUUCCUCACUUAGUUGUGAUACUGAACUUUUUACUGGGUGCUUCUUUUGAGCUUUUUCAAAGUCGAUUUGAUAUGACUCAUCUACCCUAUGCUAUCCGAGUGGUACUUUCACUGUAUUUCCUGUUAUUCUCUCCAGUUUUAAAUCCAAUAAUAUAUGGGGCCAAAACGCAAAAAAUAAACGCUGCCUUAAAAAAGAUGUGGUUUGUGAACUGUGAAAUUAAGAAGCAAUUGGACGUUAACACAUUUAGGGCCUUAUUUACGAAGACCUUUAGCAUGUGCAAAAAACCUUUUAGCAUAUGCAAAAAAUCUGUAACAUGACGCACACUGGCCUGGUCUGAAUUUGACACUGGACCAUUUGGUGGGCUGGGGGGUGUCACAGUGAGUAGAUAGUCGAGUCCUGUGUGCGUCUGGAUUCGUUUCUCAGGUCCGUUUUUGUGCGACCUUUGCUCGAGCGUCUCCCUUUUGUUUCUGUCUUCUAACAAUAACAAUGAUUGGUCAUGGUAUUAGUUUUGCACCAAUCAUUGGUUGUGCUCUUAGUUUUUGCACAUUGCUACAGCCUUAGUAAAUCAGGCCCUUAGUUACUGUAAAUAUUCCAUAUUUCAGCUCUUCUGAGCAGGCCAGAGAUGGUUGCCAUGGCACCAGUGUGAGAACGUUGACGCGGUCUUUGGAUGUGCCGAUGGCUUCUGACUGCCCAGCUCGACUUAAAACUGCACCUAGCACUGCUACUAACUGCAUUGGUCUGUGUGACGAGAGACACAAUAAAAUCCAUCGCCACUGGU